CAACUCAAACCUUCAAUAAAUGUCACAAUUCAGGUCUCUUGAACAUUUUUUGUCCUCCUUCACGUAAACCAACUUCCUCCGCAUAUUUCAUAAAUCCAGUUUUCGUAAUUGAUUUUCCUGGGUUCUUUUUUUCGGAGCUUCACUUGUGCUUCCCUCCAGGAAAAUGAAUUUUCUCAGUUCCAAACAGCUAGAAAUCUCAUAAAAAGUUUCAGGGAGAACAUCAGACAACAGAAGACGAAGAAAGGUGAGAGGAACAGCAGCAGAAAAUGUGCAAAAUGAGAAGCUAAGAUCCAUUCUUCUCCACAAGAUUCACUCGUUUUCCGUCGGAUUCUUCCAAGAACCUGCCAAAGAUCUUUACAUGAUUUAGCUAAUGCUAUAAGACCCUGAAAGACAAUUGCAUUGCUUGCGCAAAUCUGACGUGGAGGGAGAAGGAGACGAAUCAGUCGAAGGACGAACAAAAGCUAGUGCUAAGAUGCACUUUGGUAUCGUAAAUUGAGAAAAUUCCUUAUGCUUGCCGGGUCUACAAAGGAAUAACAUUUUCCGUCGGAAUGAAGUCAAAUGAGGAUGUUGUGUACAUAUAAAAUGCAAAAAGUAAUUUGG